GACGAACGCUGGCGGCGUGCUUAACACAUGCAAGUCGAACGGAAAGGCCCUGCUUUUGUGGGGUGCUCGAGUGGCGAACGGGUGAGUAACACGUGAGUAACCUGCCCUUGACUUUGGGAUAACUUCAGGAAACUGGGGCUAAUACCGGAUAGGAGCUCCUGCUGCAUGGUGGGGGUUGGAAAGUUUCGGCGGUUGGGGAUGGACUCGCGGCUUAUCAGCUUGUUGGUGGGGUAGUGGCUUACCAAGGCUUUGACGGGUAGCCGGCCUGAGAGGGUGACCGGCCACAUUGGGCCUGAGGUACGGCCCAGACGCCUACGGGAGGCAGUAGGGGGGAGUAUUGCACAAUGGGCGGAAGCCUGAUGCAGCAACGCCGCGUGCGGGAUGCCGUCCUUCGGGUUGUAAACCGCUUUCGCCUGUGACGAAGCGUGAGUGACGGUAAUGGGUAAAGAAGCACCGGCUAACUACGUG
rnacentral:rRNA from 1 species